GCAUGCACCACCAUACCUGACUUAAAAAUAUUUCCUUAUUUUACUUUUAAAUUGUUUUUGAUGCUUCCAUGCAAAUCUUUUUCAUGCCUUGAAUCUUCCAUACCAGUUAGUUACCCAGAACUCUGAAUCAAUAUUGUUUCGGAGAGGUUCACAAAGUGAGGGGGUCCAGGCCAUGUUCACAUGGGCAGUGGUAGCAAUUGAACACUCAUGCAAAAGUUUAACACUCAUGCAACCUAAGACGACCCACUGAUCAGACUAAGUUGAAGGUCUUGGUGACAAAGACAGCUCUUUCUCCUCAGUGACUGGAGGAUAUGGAGUUUCCCUUCCCUCUUUUUCUUUCUUCCCUCCCUUUUUGAUUUUGCAGGCUGGAGGUCGAACCUAGGGCCUCACACAUGCAAGGCAAGCACUGUAUCACAAGCUAUAUCCCCAGCCCCAAGUUUUUUAUUUUAUGUAGGAUGGGACUAUAGCCAAUUUCAUUUGAACUGCAUAGGACAUGGUGAUCCCUGCACAGAAGUGGGCACUAGGUUACAGUCAACCACUCACAAUGUUUUGGUCUUUGCUUCAGUGGGUUCCUCUGUCACCACAGCAAGGCCUUUCUGUUUGCUGAAAAUCAGCAGUUCCUGGACAAGGAGGAGGAGCUAGACCGGCUGAAUGUACAUCCUCCAGAGAGUGACUCAGAGUUUGCUCUAUAUAAACCUGCAUACACAACACAGAGGGACUAGCAUUACUGUGGUGUGCGCUGGGACUGGAAGUUAAAUGGACAGACAGACAAUGCCAGCUGCUAGGAAAACCAUCCUCAGAUUCUACUGGAUCUGGUUUACGUUGAGGAGCACCCAGAGCGCAGAUACUGGGAACCGAACUCACGACCUUGCGCUUGCCAGGUGAAACAUUUAUUGGCUAAUCAACAAACCACAGGAACGCGUAAACAUCCACUUGAAUAUAUCGCUGCUGUAUUUUAUCUGGUGACGAAGACAUCACAAGUCACAGCUUUGAAGAGGAUUUGACAUCAAGGAGCGGUUGGAGAUCUGAUCUACCGGCCUUUGAGGCAGGAUCCAUGUGGAAAGGAAGUCAGCAGGAAGAACUAGAAGGACUUAACUGGCUGGAAGACGUCUCUGUCCCAUCUCUUCAAGCCUGGAGUCCCUGUGUUCUCUCCGCAUUCAAGCCUGCUCUCAGGAGAUGGUGCCUUGUCCAGGAAACCUGCAGCGGUUACAUAACAAAGCAGAGGUCCUCUAUUCCAGCAAUCCAGGAUCUGGAAACAACAGCAGAGCUCAGCGAAUGAAGAGAGUUGACUCUCCGCAAGGUGGUACCUGUUACCCUGACUGAGUCUGUUCCAGAGGGGCAUUCAGACAUCACUGAACAUUGUGAAGAACCAUGGCGCACUCCAACACCAUCCUUGAGUUCUUUCGUGCUAAGUGAACUGGUGAUAAUCUUUGACUAGGAGAAUUGAGAACACGCUGCUCCUCACCAUCUCCUGCGGGUCUCUGGCUGCUCCUGCAGGAGUAGGAAGGACCAUAUUUGCUUUAGAUUAUGGGUAACUAAUUAUAGAGAUGUUUUAGGCUACCAUACGCUUUUCCUCAAGGAAUAGGCUUGGAGGCAGAGAGCCAGUGGGUCUCUAUAGAAAGCUUUGGAUUCUUCUCCCCAGUAAGUUCUGCUUAAUGCUGGAUCUCUGCAACGUAAUGUUGAUUUGUUAGUCCAAGGCGUUAUAGAUUAUUGUGGCUAAAGAACAAAACCUAAAUCUUGAUAAAAAUGCAGCAUAAAAUAUACCAUUUUA